rnacentral:rRNA from 1 species
GUGGGGAAUUGUUCGCAAUGGGCGCAAGCCUGACGACGCAACGCCGCGUGGAGGAUGAAGAUCUUCGGGUCGUAAACUCCUGUCGAAUGGGAAGAAUGUUUCGCGGAUGAAUAAGCCGCGGAAGUGACGGUACCAUUAAAGGAAGCCCCGGCUAACUCCGUGCCAGCAGCCGCGGUAAUACGGGGGGGGCAAGCGUUGUUCGGAAUUACUGGGCGUAAAGGGCUCGUAGGUGGCCAACUAAGUCAGACGUGAAAUCCCCAGGCUUAACCUGGGAACUGCGUCUGAUACUGGAUGGCUUGAAUUCGGGAGAGGGAUGCAGAAUUCCAGGUGUAGCGGUGAAAUGCGUAGAUAUCUGGAGGAAUACCGGUGGCGAAGGCGGCAUCCUGGACCGAGAUUGACACUGAUGAGCGAAAGCUAGGGGAGCAAACGGGAUUAGAAACCCGGGUAGUCC